AGAGUUUGAUCAUGGCUCAGGACGAACGCUGGCGGCGUGCUUAACACAUGCAAGUCGAACGAUGAAGCCCUUCGGGGUGGAUUAGUGGCGAAUGGGUGAGUAACACGUGGGCAAUCUGCCCUGCACUCUGGGACAAGCCCUGGAAACGGGGUCUAAUACCGGAUACUGAUCGCCUUGGGCAUCCUUGGUGAUCGAAAGCUCCGGCGGUGCAGGAUGAGCCCGCGGCCUAUCAGCUUGUUGGUGAGGUAAUGGCUCACCAAGGCGACGACGGGUAGCCGGCCUGAGAGGGCGACCGGCCACACUGGGACUGAGACACGGCCCAGACUCCUACGGGAGGCAGCAGUGGGGAAUAUUGCACAAUGGGCGAAAGCCUGAUGCAGCGACGCCGCGUGAGGGAUGACGGCCUUCGGGUUGUAAACCUCUUUCAGCAGGGAAGAAGCGAAAGUGACGGUACCUGCAGAAGAAGCGCCGGCUAACUACGUGCCAGCAGCCGCGGUAAUACGUAGGGCGCGAGCGUUGUCCGGAAUUAUUGGGCGUAAAGAGCUCGUAGGCGGCUUGUCGCGUCGGUUGUGAAAGCCCGGGGCUUAACCCCGGGUCUGCAGUCGAUACGGGCAGGCUAGAGUUCGGUAGGGGAGAUCGGAAUUCCUGGUGUAGCGGUGAAAUGCGCAGAUAUCAGGAGGAACACCGGUGGCGAAGGCGGAUCUCUGGGCCGAUACUGACGCUGAGGAGCGAAAGCGUGGGGAGCGAACAGGAUUAGAUACCCUGGUAGUCCACGCCGUAAACGGUGGGCACUAGGUGUGGGCGACAUUCCACGUCGUCCGUGCCGCAGCUAACGCAUUAAGUGCCCCGCCUGGGGAGUACGGCCGCAAGGCUAAAACUCAAAGGAAUUGACGG
rnacentral:rRNA from 1 species